rnacentral:rRNA from 1 species
AUUGAACGCUGGCGGCAGGCUUAACACAUGCAAGUCGAGCGGAGUGAUGGUGCUUGCACUAUCACUUAGCGGCGGACGGGUGAGUAAUGCUUAGGAAUCUGCCUAUUAGUGGGGGACAACAUCUCGAAAGGGAUGCUAAUACCGCAUACGUCCUACGGGAGAAAGCAGGGGAUCACUUGUGACCUUGCGCUAAUAGAAGAGCCUAAGUCGGAUUAGCUAGUUGGUGGGGUAAAGGCCUACCAAGGCGACGAUCUGUAGCGGGUCGGAGAGGAUGAUCCGCCACACUGGGACUGGGACACGGCCCAGACUCCUACGGGAGGCAGCAGUGGGGAAUAUUGGACAAUGGGGGGAACCCUGAUCCAGCCAUGCCGCGUGUGUGAAGAAGGCCUUAUGGUUGUAAAGCACUUUAAGCGAGGAGGAGGCUCUUUUGGUUAAUACCCAAGAUGAGUGGACGUUACUCGCAGAAUAAGCAUCGGCUAACUCUGUGCCAGCCGCCGCCGUAA